rnacentral:rRNA from 1 species
UGGGGAAUAUUGCACAAUGGGGGAAACCCUGAUGCAGCCACGCCGCGUGAAGGAAGACGGUUUUCGGAUUGUAAACUUCUGUUCUUAGUGAAGAAUAAUGACGGUAGCUAAGGAGCAAGCCACGGCUAACUACGUGCCAGCAGCCGCGGUAAUACGUAGGGGGCAAGCGUUAUCCGGAUUUACUGGGUGUAAAGGGAGCGCAGGCGGUCCUGCAAGUCUGAUGUGAAAGCCCGGGGCUCAACCCCGGGACUGCAUUGGAAACUGUGGGACUUGAGUGUCGGAGGGGCAAGUGGAAUUCCUAGUGUAGCGGUGAAAUGCGUAGAUAUUAGGAGGAACACCAGUGGCGAAGGCGGCUUGCUGGACGACAACUGACGCUGAGGCUCGAAAGCGUGGGGAGCAAACAGGAUUAGAUACCCUGGUAGU